CAAUAGCGUAUAUUGAAGUUGUUGCGGUUAAAAAGCUCGUCGUUGGAUUUCUGUUGAGGUCGAACAGUGCCGCCCUAUGGGUGUGCAACUGGCUCGGCUUCGGCAUCUUCUUGGAGAGCGCAUCUGCACUUAACUGUGUGGAUCGUACUUCAAGUCAGUUACUUUGAGGAAUUGUGAGUGUUUCAAGCAGGCUUACGCCGUUGAAUCCGUUAGCAUGGAAUAAUAGGAUAGGACCUCGGUUCUAUUUUGUUGGUUUUGAGAGCUGGGGCAGCGAUUGAUAGGGACGGAUGGGGGCGUCCGAACUUUACUGUCAGAGGUGAAAUUCUUAGAUCGGUCAAAGGCGAACUACUGCGAACGCAUUCGCCAAGAAUGUUUUCUUUAA
rnacentral:rRNA from 1 species